UACAGAGGGUGCGAGCGUUAAUCGGAAUUACUGGGCGUAAAGCGCACGUAGGCGGCUUGGUAUGUCGGAUGUGAAAACCCGGGGCUCAACCCCGGGCGUGCAUUCGAUACUGCGCGGCUCGAGACAGGUAGGGGAGAUCGGAAUUCCUGGUGUAGCGGUGAAAUGCGCAGAUAUCAGGAGGAACACCGGUGGCGAAGGCGGAUCUCUGGGCCUGUUCUGACGCUGGAGGCGCGAAAGCUAGGGGAGCGAACAGG
rnacentral:rRNA from 1 species